CGUGUGGUUCUAUUUUGUUGGUUUCUAGGAUCGCCGUAAUGAUUAAUAGGGAUAGUUGGGGGCAUUAGUAUUUAAUUGUCAGAGGUGAAAUUCUUGGAUUUAUGAAAGACUAACUUCUGCGAAAGCAUUUGCCAAGGAUGUUUUCAUUAAUCAAGAACGAAAGUUAGGGGAUCGAAGACGAUCAGAUACCGUCGUAGUCUUAACCAUAAACUAUGCCGACUAGGGAUCAGACAAGGAUAUUUUGACUUGUUUGGCACCUUAUGAGAAAUCAAAGUUUUUGGGUUCCGGGGGGAGUAUGGUCGCAAGGCUGAAACUUAAAGGAAUUGACGGAAGGGCACCACCAGGAGUGGAGCCUGCGGCUUAAUUUGACUCAACACGG
rnacentral:rRNA from 1 species